rnacentral:rRNA from 1 species
UACGUAGGGGGCGAGCGUUGUCCGGAUUUACUGGGCGUAAAGCGCGUGUAGGCGGCCGUUUAAGCCAGGUGUGAAAGCCCGGGGCUCAACCCCGGGACGCCGCCUGGGACUGGACGGCUUGAGGACGGAAGAGGGGCGUGGAAUUCCUGGUGUAGCGGUGAAAUGCGUAGAUAUCGGAAAGAACACCAAGGGCGAAGGCACUCUGCAGGGCCGAAACUGACACUGAGAGACGAGAGCUAGGGGAGCAAAUGGG